rnacentral:rRNA from 1 species
AGAAGAAGCCCCGGCUAACUUCGUGCCAGCAGCCGCGGUAAUACGAGGGGGGCAAGCGUUGUUCGGAAUUAUUGGGCGUAAAGGGCGCGUAGGCGGUUUGGCAAGUUUCGUGUGAAAACUUCGGGCUCAACUCGAAGCCUGCACGGAAAACUGCCGGGCUUGAGUAUGGGAGAGGUGAGUGGAAUUUCCGGUGUAGCGGUGAAAUGCGUAGAUAUCGGAAGGAACACCUGUGGCGAAAGCGGCUCACUGGACCAUAACUGACGCUGAGGCGCGAAAGCUAGGGGAGCAAACAGGAUUAGAUACCCUGGUAGUCCUAGCCCUAAACGAUGAUUGCUUGGUGUGGCCGGUACCCAAUCCUGCCGUGCCGAAGCUAACGCGAUAAACAAUCCGCCUGGGGAGUACGGUCGCA